rnacentral:tRNA from 1 species
UCCCGGUUCGUCUAAUGGUAGGACUGCAGACUCUGACUCUGCCUAUCGUGGUUCGAGUCCAUGACCGGGAG